rnacentral:rRNA from 1 species
AUGCUUCAUCAUGCAGAUGCGGUGUACAUUCAUCAUUCAGGAAGUGGUGUUUUAUUAUUGCAGCUCAUGACUAAACUAUUUCUAGUUGCCUUGCUCAUGUUUCAUCUCAUAAAACUAGAGGCAUGCUACACAGAUGAUGCAAUACUACCCGUUGGAAAUUAUCAUCUUCUCAUUCAAUAUUUAUAUGUUUGGUUUGUUGGUUGGCAAGACAGCACGCAAGAGAGGAGAGAAUCAUCUUUGCCUGGUGGCCUUUGGAGGACCUUGCAAACCGACCACAUGUUAAGUAAUCACCUCCCCUUUUUACUCUGUUGGUAUGAAUGA